AGUGAACGCUGGCGGUAGGCCUAACACAUGCAAGUCGAACGGCAGCACAGGAGAGCUUGCUCUCUGGGUGGCGAGUGGCGGACGGGUGAGGAAUACAUCGGAAUCUACUCUGUCGUGGGGGAUAACGUAGGGAAACUUACGCUAAUACCGCAUACGACCUACGGGUGAAAGCAGGGGACCUUCGGGCCUUGCGCUCUUGAAUGAGCCUAUGUCGGAUUAGCUAGUUGGCGGGGUAAAGGCCCACCAAGGCGACGAUCCGUAGCUGGUCUGAGAGGAUGAUCAGCCACGCUGGAACUGAGACACGGUCCAGACUCCUACGGGAGGCAGCAGUGGGGAAUAUUGGACAAUGGGCGCAAGCCUGAUCCAGCCAUACCGCGUGGGUGAAGAAGGCCUUCGGGUUGUAAAGCCCUUUUGUUGGGAAAGAAAUCCAGCUGGCUAAUACCCGGUUGGGAUGACGGUACCCAAAGAAUAAGCACCGGCUAACUUCGUGCCAGCAGCCGCGGUAA
rnacentral:rRNA from 1 species